CAGGCCUAACACAUGCAAGUCGAACGAAGGCUUCGGCCUUAGUGGCGCACGGGUGCGUAACGCGUGGGAAUCUGCCCCUUGGUUCGGAAUAACAGUUAGAAAUGACUGCUAAUACCGGAUGAUGACUUCGGUCCAAAGAUUUAUCGCCGAGGGAUGGGCCCGCGUAGGAUUAGCUAGUUGGUGGGGUAAUGGCCUACCAAGGCGACGAUCCUUAGCUGGUCUGAGAGGAUGAUCAGCCACACUGGGACUGAGACACGGCCCAGACUCCUACGGGGGGCAGCAGUGGGGAAUAUUGGACAAUGGGCGCAAGCCUGAUCCAGCAAUGCCGCGUGAGUGAUGAAGGCCUUCGGGUUGUAAAGCUCUUUUACCCGGGAUGAUAAUGACAGUACCGGGAGAAUAAGCUCCGGCUAACUCCGUGCCAGCAGCCGCGGU
rnacentral:rRNA from 1 species